UGGGGAAUAUUGCACAAUGGGCGCAAGCCUGAUGCAGCCAUGCCGCGUGUGUGAAGAAGGCCUUCGGGUUGUAAAGCACUUUCAGCGGGGAGGAAGGUGGUAAGGUUAAUAACCUUGGCGAUUGACGUUACCCGCAGAAGAAGCACCGGCUAACUCCGUGCCAGCAGCCGCGGUAAUACGGAGGGUGCAAGCGUUAAUCGGAAUUACUGGGCGUAAAGCGCACGCAGGCGGUCUGUCAAGUCGGAUGUGAAAUCCCCGGGCUCAACCUGGGAACUGCAUUCGAAACUGGCAGGCUAGAGUCUUGUAGAGGGGGGUAGAAUUCCAGGUGUAGCGGUGAAAUGCGUAGAGAUCUGGAGGAAUACCGGUGGCGAAGGCGGCCCCCUGGACAAAGACUGACGCUCAGGUGCGAAAGCGUGGGGAGCAAACAGG
rnacentral:rRNA from 1 species